rnacentral:rRNA from 1 species
CUAGCUGUAAACGAUGUAGACUUGGCGUUGGGGGAGUAAAAUCCUUCAGUGCCGCAGCAAACGCGAUAAGUCUACCGCCUGGGGACUACGGCCGCAAGGUUAAAACUCAAAGGAAUUGACGGGGCCCCGCACAAGCAGCGGAGCGUGUGGUUUAAUUCGAUGCUACACGAAGAACCUUACCAGGGUUUGACAUACAAGUAGUAGGGAACUGAAAAGGGACCGACCCUUCGGGGAGCUUGAACAGGUGC